UGGGGAAUAUUGCACAAUGGGCGCAAGCCUGAUGCAGCCAUGCCGCGUGUAUGAAGAAGGCCUUCGGGUUGUAAAGUACUUUCAGCGGGGAGGAAGGGAGUAAAGUUAAUACCUUUGCUCAUUGACGUUACCCGCAGAAGAAGCACCGGCUAACUCCGUGCCAGCAGCUGCGGUAAUACGGAGGGUGCAAGCGUUAAUCGGAAUUACUGGGCGUAAAGCGCACGCAGGCGGUUUGUUAAGUCAGAUGUGAAAUCCCCGGGCGCAACCUGGGAACUGCAUCUGAUACUGGCAAGCUUGAGUCUCGUAGAGGGGGGUAGAAUUCCAGGUGUAGCGGUGAAAUGCGUAGAGAUCUGGAGGAAUACCGGUGGCGAAGGCGGCCCCCUGGACGAAGACUAACGCUCAGGUGCGAACGCGUGGGGAGCAAACAGG
rnacentral:rRNA from 1 species